AGCAAUUUUGCUGGCUACACUAGCAGUGCCCCAAACAAUAACAUGUUGUCAGCACGUUUUAUUGGGCUAUUUAGCUUCUACAAUACAAUGCUGACUGGAACCGCGACGACCACCUUUUCCGCCAAUUCUUUGAGACCGCUCCGUCUCCCAAACAGCCACCAACAAACUCUGCUUCCCAAGGUUGUUGACUUUGGCAACUUUGGGAUGCUUUCAGCUGCUCAACCACGGGAUUCCACUCCACGUGAUCGUAUGUGUCGCCGGCGGAAUCUUCCGUUGGAAUCUUCCAGGUGCUGCCGGAGAAGAAUGAGUUCGUGUGGAGCAGAUCAGAUUUUAGGGAUGCGUUGCUUGCAGGAGGCAAUUUUAGAGACCCACCAAAACUAAUGAAACAAUUUACCUUAUAUAUAUAUAUAUGCCCAUUUUAUUUUAAAGAUCUAUGUUGAAUUAAAAAGAUUUUCUAGUCUCUGUUAUAAUUACUUUAAUAAUUUGAUCAUGUAUGAAAAUGUGAUUGCA
rnacentral:lncRNA from 1 species